rnacentral:rRNA from 1 species
GAUGAACGCUGGCGGCGUGCCUAAUACAUGCAAGUCGAGCGAACAGACGAGGAGCUUGCUCCUCUGACGUUAGCGGCGGACGGGUGAGUAACACGUGGAUAACCUACCUAUAAGACUGGGAUAACUUCGGGAAACCGGAGCUAAUACCGGAUAAUAUAUUGAACCGCAUGGUUCAAUAGUGAAAGACGGUUUUGCUGUCACUUAUAGAUGGAUCCGCGCCGCAUUAGCUAGUUGGUAAGGUAACGGCUUACCAAGGCAACGAUGCGUAGCCGACCUGAGAGGGUGAUCGGCCACACUGGAACUGAGCCACGGUCCAGACUCCUACGGGAGGCAGCAGUAGGGAAUCUUCCGCAAUGGUCGAAAGCCUGACGGAGCAACGCCGCGUGAGUUAUGAAGGUCUUCGGAUCGUAAAACUCUGUUAUUAGUGAAGAACAAAUGUGUAAGUAACUAUGCACGUCUUGACGGUACCUAAUCAGAAAGCCACGGCUAACUACGUG